rnacentral:rRNA from 1 species
GCAUUAAGUUAUCCGCCUGGGGAGUACGGUCGCAAGAUUAAAACUCAAAGGAAUUGACGGGGGCCUGCACAAGCGGUGGAGCAUGUGGUUUAAUUCGAAGCAACGCGCAGAACCUUACCAGCCUUUGACAUCCUAGGACGGUUUCUGGAGACAGACUCCUUCCCUUCGGGGACCUAGUGACAGGUGCUGCAUGGCUGUCGUCAGCUCGUGUCGUGGGACGUUGGGUUAAGUCCCGCAACGAGCGCAACCCUCGUCCUUAGUUGCCAUCAUUUAGUUGGGCACUUUAAGGAAACUGCCGGUGAUAAGCCGGAGGAAGGUGGGGAUGACGUCAAGUCCUCAUGGCCCUUACAGGCUGGGCUACACACGUGCUACAAUGGCAUCUACAGUGGGCAGCUAUCCCGCAAGGGUGAGCUAAUCUCCAAAAGAUGUCUCAGUUCGGAUUGUCCUCUGCAACUCGAGGGCAUGAAGGCGGAAUCGCUAGUAAUCGCGGAUCAGCAUGCCGCGGUGAAUACGUUCCCAGGCCUUGUACACACCGCCCGUCACACCAUGGGAGUUGGAUUCACCCGAAGGCAGUGCGCUAACCGCAAGGAGGCAGCUGA